rnacentral:rRNA from 1 species
UACGUAGGGACCAAGCGUUGUUCGGAUUUACUGGGCGUAAAGGGCUCGUAGGUGGCCAACUAAGUCAGACGUGAAAUCCCUCAGCUUAACUGGGGAACUGCGUCUGAUACUGGAUGGCUUGAGUUCGGGAGAGGGAUGCGGAAUUCCAGGUGUAGCGGUGAAAUGCGUAGAUAUCUGGAGGAACACCGGUGGCGAAGGCGGCAUCCUGGACCGAUACUGACGCUGAGGAGCGAAAGCCAGGGGAGCAAACGGG